ensembl:lncRNA
GUAUAUAAGUUGUUUUGAGUACCUGUAUUCAGUUAUUUUGGGCCCGAAUCUAGGAGUAGAAUUGCUUGGUCAUAUAGUAAUUGUUUAAGUUGUUGGGCUGCCAAACUGUUUCCCGUUAUAGCUGCACCACUUAACAUUCCCACCAGCAGUGUAUCAGGGUUCAAAUUUCUCCACAUCCUUGCUAACACUUGUUAUCUUCUCCUUUUAAAAAAAAUGGCCAUUUUAGGAGUUCCCUUUGUGGCACAGUGGAAAUGAAUCUGGUUAAUAUCCAUGAAGAUGCUGGUGUGAUCCCUGGCCUCGCUCAGUGGGUUAAGGAUCCUGCAUUGCUGUGAGCUGUGGUAUAGUUCACAGAUGCGGCUUGGAUCCUACGUUGCUGCAGCUGUAGUGUAGGCUGGCAGCUGUAGCUCCAAUUCAGCCCCUAGCCUGGCAACUUCCAUAUGCUGCAGGUGUGGCCCUAAAAUGCAGGGGGGCAGUAAGCCAUUUAAGUGGGUGUGACAUGAGAUACAUGGUUUUGAUUUAUAUUUCUGCAUUAACUAAUGAUGUUGAGCAUCAUUUUCAUGUGCUUGUUGGCCAUUUAUAUAUCCUUAGAAAAGUUAUCUAUUCAGAUUUCUUAACCCAUUUUUGAAUUGGGUUGUUUGCUUCUUGGUUGUUGAAUUGUAAAUCUUCAUCAUAUAUUCAGUAUGCCAGACCAUUAUCAGCUUUUAUGAUGUACAGAUAUUUUCUCACAUUCUUUUGUAUGGUUUUGUUUUUCUUGUCUUGCUUAUGCUUUUGGUGUCAUAUCUAGGAAUCCAUUGCCAAAUCUAGGGUCAUGAAGAUUUACCUGUAUGUUUUCUCCCAAGAGUUUUAUGGUUUUAGCUCUUAUAUUAGGUCACUCAUUAUUUUUUAAAUUUCUUUUUAUUACUCAAUGAAUUUAUUACAUUUAUGGUUGUACAGUGAUCUUCACAAUCCAAUUUUACAGGAUUUACAUCCCACACCUCUAGCGCAUACCCCCCCCCGAACUGUCUGUCUCCUUUAGAAACCAUAAGUUUUUCAAAGUCUGUGAGUCAGUAUCUGUUCUGCAAAGUUCAUUGUGUCCUUUUUUUCAGAUUCCACAUGUCAGUGAAAGCAUUUGAUGUUGGUGUCUCAGUGUCUGACUGACUUCACUUCGCAUGAUAGUUUCUAGGUCCAUCCAUGUUGCUGAAAAUGCCGGUAUUUCGUUCCUUUUUAUGGCUGAGUCAUAUUCCAUUGUGUAUACGUACCACAUCUUCUUGAUCCACUCUUCUGUUGAUGGACAUUUAGGUUGUUUCCAUGUCUUGGCUAUUGCAAAUAGUGCUGUAGUGAACAUCGGAGUACAUGUGUCUUUGCGAGUCAUGGUGUUCUUUGGAUAGAUGCCCAGGAGUGGGAUUGCCGGAUCAAAUGGUAGUUCUAUCUGUAGUUUUGUGAGGAAUCUCCAUACUGCUUUCCACAGUGGUUGCACAAUUUACAAUCCCACCAACAGUGUACUAGGGUUCCUUUUUCUCCACACCCUCUCCAGCACUUCCUGUUUGUAGACUUUUUUGAUGAUGGCCAUUCUGGCUUGUGUAAGGUGGUACCUCCAAGUGGUUUUGAUUUGCAUUUCUCUAAUCCUGAGUGAUGUUGAACAUCUUUUCAUGUGUUUCUUGGCCAUCUGUAUGUCUUCUUUGGAGAACUGUCUGUUUAGAUCUUCCGCCCAUUUUUGGAUGGGGUUGUUUGUUUUCCUGGUAUUGAGCUGCAGAAUGUGUUUAUAAAUUUUGGAGAUUAAUCCCUUGUCAGUGGAUUCAUUUGCAAAGAUUUUCUCCCAUUCUGUGGGUUGUGUUUUUGUUUUGUUUAGGGUUUCCUUUGCUGUGAAAAACUUUUAAAUUUGAUUAGGUCCCGUUUGUUUAUUUUUGCUUGUACUGUCAUUACUCUAAGAGGUGGAUCUGAGAUGUUGCUGUCGUUUAUGUUGGAGAGUGUUUGGCCCAUGUUUUCCUCUGAGAGUUUUGUAGUGUCUGGUCUUACAUCUAGGUCUUUAAUGCCUUUUGAGUUUAUUUUUGUGUAUGGGGUUAGGGAGUGUUCUAAUUUCAUUCUUUCACAUGUGGCUGUCCAGUUUUCCCAGCACCACUUAUUGAACAGGCUGUCUUUUCUCUGUUGUAUACUCUUACCUCCUUUGUCCUAGAUUAGUUGGCUGUAGGUGCGUGGGUUUAAUUCUGGGCUUUCUAUUCUGUUCCACUGAUCUGUAUUUCUAUCUUUGUGCCAGUACCGUAUGGUUUUGAUGACUGGAGGUGAGUCUCUGUGAACCAGUUAGUUUCCAGUUUGUGGGGCUUCCCACCUUAUGUCACGUAAUCACCCCUCCUACCUCUUGAUGUGGCCUCCUCUUUGUCUUCUGGAGUAGGAUAACGUUUUGAAGGUUUCUGGUCCAUUUGGUUGAAGAUUGCUCAGCAUUUAGUUAUAAAUUUUGUUGUUUUUAGGAGAGAAGUUGAGCUCCAGUCCUUCUAUUCCACCAUCUUAAUCCCAUCUGUCCUGUCUUUUAUACUGCUCACUCAUCUGUUUUGAAUUAAUUUUUGGAUAUGGUAUGAGGUAAAGGUCUAGCUUCAUUCUUUUGCAGGUUGAUAUGCAGUUUUNNNNNNNNNNNNNNNNNNNNNNNNNUCCCUAUUGAUUGGUCUUGACACCCUUCCCAAAAAAUCAAGUGGCCGUAAAUGUAUGGGUUUACUUCUAGACUCUUCAUCUUCUAUAUGUUUCCCCUUACGCUAGUACCGUGCUGUUUUGCUUACGGUGGUUUUGUAGUCAGUUGUGAAUAUAUGAAGCAUAUUUACAAUUCAGCAACCAAGAAAUUGAGACUUGUGAGUCCUCCAACUUUGUUCUUCCGUUUCAAGAUUGUUUGG